CGUGGGGAGACGCCGGCCUGACUCGCGCUCAGAGAGGUCUUGGCUUGCUUACACUACAGGGAAGCCAGUGGAGUCUCCACCAUGGCUGUCCCCAUCUCCGUGUGGAACACUGAUGAUGAUGGCUGAUGGCUGAGCGUGCGCAUCUAUCUCUUCCCCUCCUGAGAGCUGAGGAACCACAACAAUGAAGCAGCAUCCCAGUGUUGUCUCACCACUUCGGGGAUUUGCCAGGCCUGAUGACACCCCUGGUGACACCGACGGCAACCCCCAGUGGCGUUCCUACUGUGUGACCUUCCCCCCUCAAGCCCCGCACCCUGAGUUUUUGGGACGCUUUCCUGUCAUCUCAGCAAGGGGUACACGUCCUCCAGAUAAGCUACGCAGCUCCCGGCAGUGGGGCUGAGCCUCGGGCACGCACAGUGGUGGGGACGUGCCGGGUCUGAUGGCGCGCCAGCACUACUGAAGGCCUCCCCUGUGAACCACCUCAACACCUCUGACUACACCCCACCCGCCACCCUCACAAGGCGACGGGACUCACCUACCACAGAACAACCCCGAUUAUGACAGACACUCGUCGAGAGCCUUCUGACACUUGUGUGCCAUGGUGUGUCAUAUUGUAUAUUAUGUUAUAUUAUAUAUUAUUAUAGGAUGUGAUCUCCGUAUCCACAGCAGCACGGGUGGUUUUCCUCCAGGAGCUCCCAGUUUCCACCCAGAAGACAUCUCUGCUGUCUGUGGUUACAAUAUAUAUUGUAUAAUUCACUUCCUUGUGUAAAUAUCAGUAGUAAAACGUAUUGUAAUAUAUUACAUAUGUAUCCUCCCCCUACCUUCUCACUCUUCCACAGCAGUACGGGUGGUUUUCCUCCAGGAACACAGGUUUCCACCAUUGACCCAACAUGUACUGCCCUGUGAACUUUCACUGUACAGCAGCAGGCCGGUCCGCCCGGCAACUUUCUACUCCUACUUUAUUUCUAUAUUUCCCCACUUUUUCUUCCCGUGUGCCAGCCAAGGUACACUCCCCCCCACUCUUAUGUAACCAAUCUUUUCUAAAUAAACUUUGUAAACUUUGUUACUGAUAGUGUGCAGCAUCGCAUCGAUCUCGAACCUAAUACAUGUCCUAUUUAUAUACCUUCUUAUCGUUUGCCUCACUCCCAGCGACAAGUUGAACAUAACUUAAUCCAAGAAAUGCUUAAUGAAGGUAUUAUUCAGGAGUCAUAUCCUCCAUGGAACCCCAAUUUUCAUGUUGCCAAAGAAGGACGGAUCUUAUCGUGCAGUAGUAGACUUUCGACGAGUCAUUGCUGUCAUUCAACCAGACCAUUACCCUCUUACUGUCUUGUCAGACCUUUUAGAAUGUAUAGGCAAAGGCAAUUCUGUCUUCACGACUUUAGACCUUAAGAGUUGUUUCUGGCAGAUCCCCUUGUCUACUGACAGCCGUUCUAUCACUGCUUUUUCUACACCUACAGUCAGCGGCUCCGUUGCCCCAUGGGACUUUGUAAUUGUGAGGAGUCAGGCGGAGCUAGACGCAUCGUGAUGUUCAGCUGCUUAGCAGCUGCUUAGCAUUCAGUGGUUGGGAGGAAUAAGAUCCAUCCUAAAUUUGCAGAAGAGGUCUGGAUAAUUGUAGAAGUGCUGGAUAAGGUUAGUGGGGUAUAUCGGGUGAGACCAGAGGAUGAACAAGGUUAUGAGAAAGUGCUACAUAGGAGUAAUCUGAGACCCUUGAGAGCAGGGUAUUGUGAGGGUUCAUCUGAACAGCAACAACAGAACAAGAGGCCUCAGCAUGUAGAGGACAGGCAAAUUUCAGAGGAAGAUGAGGAGGGAAAGCAAGUAGAAGAGGUGGAGGAAAACGGGAAUGAUUUGACCACAAUACCCGAGUGUGAGGAGAUAGAAGAAGAAGCAGGUCAGGAGAGGGAGGAGGAUCAAGUGAUUAGGCCGGAGUGUGAACAGGCUGGGGAGGAAGCAAGUCAGAAAAAGGAGACUAAGGAAGUAGUGGGGUCAGAAAGAAGAGAACCUGCGAGAUUGAGGCGGUCUCUUAGGCUUGCAGAGCAAGAAAGGAAAGAUGGAAAUAGGUGUCUUGUGUACGAUGGAUGUGCGCGAGGGCACGCACAAAGUUUGAGGGGCUGAGUGUGAGGAGUCAGGCGGAGCUAGACGCAUCGUGAUGUUCAGCUGCUUAGCGUGGGGUUUGAUGGGAAGUGUUUGCUUUGGAACGAGAGAGAUUUUGGCGCGGAACACAGAUACUUGAGGCGUUGUUUUAGAGGUCUGGAUUGUGUGGCUUUGUCAGCAUAGCAGGUAUGUGAUAGUGUAUUUCAGUGUGAAGAUAUUGUUGGGCAAAGCGUUGGAUGUUAAUGAAAUGUAAGGAGCGGAAGAGAGGAUGAUUAGAGUGCACCAUGGGUGUGUUGCAGGAGUUUCACGGUGAUGCUUAAGGACCGUAGCCGCAGUCGUCUUCACCAGUGUGUGCCUGGCUACUGGAAGAGUGGUGUAGUGUGUGGCCAUCCUGAGCCCUAUCAGUUUGUGGUGACAAGAGGGAGACGCCUGUCAUCACUCAGCAGGGGACCAGAAGCGUUCGUGUGAACGAGGGUUACCGGUCGUGUCCUGCAACUGGAAAUUUCGAGGUGUAUAAGUUUCAUUUAGUUAUUUCUUUUUUUCUUUUUCUUGUGAGUUUACACGAGUUGUGUAUUGAUUUAUUUUGAUAUCCAUUAAAGUGUUAUUUGUA